GAUGAACGCUAGCUACAGGCUUAACACAUGCAAGUCGCGGGGCAGCAUGGGGGUUGCUUGCAACUCCCGAUGGCGACCGGCGCACGGGUGAGUAACGCGUAUCCAACCUGCCCUUCACCACGGGAUAACCCGGCGAAAGUCGGACUAAUACCGUAUGUUGUCCAUUGACGGCAUCCGAUUUGGACGAAAGGCUUUGCGGUGAAGGAUGGGGAUGCGUCCGAUUAGCCAGACGGCGGGGUAACGGCCCACCGUGGCUACGAUCGGUAGGGGUUCUGAGAGGAAGGUCCCCCACACUGGAACUGAGACACGGUCCAGACUCCUACGGGAGGCAGCAGUGAGGAAUAUUGGUCAAUGGGCGUAAGCCUGAACCAGCCAAGUAGCGUGCAGGAUGACGGCCCUAUGGGUUGUAAACUGCUUUUAUGCGGGGAUAAAGUGGCCACGUGUGGGCUUUUGCAGGUACCGCAUGAAUAAGGACCGGCUAAUUCCGU
rnacentral:rRNA from 1 species